CCUACGGGUGGCAGCAGUAGGGAAUAUUCCUCAAUGGGGGAAACCCUGAAGCAGCAACGCCGCGUGGAGGAUGAAGGUUUUCGGAUUGUAAAGUCCUGUUGAUAGGGAAGAAAAUGACGGUAUCUAACGAAUAAGCACCGGCUAACUCCGUGCCAGCAGCCGCGGUAAUACGGAGGGUGCAAGCGUUACUCGGAAUUACUGGGGGUAAAGGGAGCGUAGGCGGGAGAGCAAGUCAGAUGUGAAAUCGUAUGGCUUAACCCUGGACCUGCAUUUGAAACUGGUAUUCUAGAGUAUAGGAGAGGUAGGUGGAAUUCCUGGUGUAGGGGUGAAAUGCGUAGAGAUCAGGAGGAAUACUAGUGGCGAAGGCGGCCUGCUAG
rnacentral:rRNA from 1 species